GUGAACGCUGGCGGUAGGCCUAACACAUGCAAGUCGAACGGCAGCACAGUAAGAGCUUGCUCUUACGGGUGGCGAGUGGCGGACGGGUGAGGAAUACAUCGGAAUCUACUUUUUCGUGGGGGAUAACGUAGGGAAACUUACGCUAAUACCGCAUACGACCUACGGGUGAAAGCAGGGGAUCUUCGGACCUUGCGCGAUUGAAUGAGCCGAUGUCGGAUUAGCUAGUUGGCGGGGUAAAGGCCCACCAAGGCGACGAUCCGUAGCUGGUCUGAGAGGAUGAUCAGCGACACUGGAACUGAGACACGGUCCAGACUACUACGGGAGGCAGCAGUGGGGAAUAUUGGACAAUGGGCGCAAGCCUGAUCCAGCCAUACCGCGUGGGUGAAGAAGGCCUUCGGGUUGUAAAGCCCUUUUGUUGGGAAAGAAAAGCAGCAGGUUAAUACCCCGCUGUUCUGACGGUACCCAAAGAAUAAGCACCGGCUAACUUCGUG
rnacentral:rRNA from 1 species